UACGUAGGUGGCGAGCGUUGUCCGGAUUUACUGGGCGUAAAGAGCGCGCAGGCGGUCGUACAAGUCGCGUGUGAAAGCCCCCGGCUCAACUGGGGAGGGUCACGCGAUACUGUUCGACUGGAAGGCAGGAGAGGGAAGUGGAAUUCCCGGUGUAGUGGUGAAAUGCGUAGAUAUCGGGAGGAACACCAGUGGCGAAGGCGACUUCCUGGCCUGUUCUUGACGCUGAGGCGCGAAAGCUAGGGUAGCAAACGG
rnacentral:rRNA from 1 species